UAUUAAAAAAUGUAUCUAAUUCUAUUAUUAAAAAUUAGCAUGGUUAACAGAAUAACAAAACAGUAAUACGCGGUGUGCUAUAUGUACCUCAUGUUGAGGUAUAAAGACCAAUUUUUAAUAGUAAAAUGAACAAUUUAUUCUUUAAUU
rfam:Gossypium raimondii Chr12_contig_189, whole genome shotgun sequence.